GGCGGCUGUUUUUAGGGGCCGGUCGCGUUGUGGAGCGGUCCGUAUUCUGUGCCUUCUUACAGCGGAUCCCGGGCAACGAGGCAGCUGACACCCUGGCGAAGGACGCCCACCACACCACUGUGUCCCUCAGCCGGGCCGUGACGGAGGGCGACUUCACAGGACUGAGGCUGCGGCGACACCUGGCGACCUACCACCCUGACAAAAGGGUGUCACUGGGAUGACCCCACGCCCACUCCCCCAGCGAGGCCUGGCUCGCAGGGAGACCUCGCUCCUACUUCGGCUUCGCAUCGGCUGCAGCUGGACGGCAGCUCGCAGCCACCGACUAGGACGAGCGACGUCCCCGGCCUGCACUUCCUGCGGGGAGCCGGAGACCAUCGAGCAUAUCCUGUUAGCCUGCCCGGCGUACCUCCAGCAGCGGGUCCCACUCCUGCAGGAGUUCCGCCACCUGGGCCUCCCCUCAAGCAAGGAGGAAGGCCUUCUCUUCCCCGGCCGACACCACCUUCCUGCACUUCGAGGCGACGUGGAGUACCUUGACUCGUCAGGGCUCUCCGCACGCCUCCAAGACAUGAUUUCUGCAAGCGGGACGGCCUCGUGGCCUCCCAACCCGUCCCGGGCCUGACAGGCUCGGAACUACACCCCUGCAGUCUUGGCAGCACUCCAAGGCCUUCCAUCUCGACCUGAUACGUGCUGCCACAGCCUGCCGGUUGGCUACGCCCAGCCAUGGUGACUCCACCCUAUCCCCCUUUCUCUCCCACUUACCCCUCCCUGUUGGCGCUGAGCCGUGCUCUCUCAAGGGCUGCAGAAGAUAGCGUCAACCUUUCCCUUUCCUCACGAACCACUUACUACCUUUUGUGUGCUGCGACCCGGUCGCAGCAGUGGCGACCUGCAGUGCGGAUCGGCGGUCGUCGCUGUGUGGCUAUUCAGAACUAAAAUGCAAUAGUCGCGUUUAAUGAAUAGUCAAUUUCACUGUGCCCCUAACUAUCAACCAAGCCCUGUCCGCUGGUUCUUGGACCCUUGGAUAUCCGUCCGGAUGGCAUUCUCAAGGAAGCGUACUACUUUGAAACCGAAACCUUCGCUGAACAUCUUUCUGUAGCGACUUCGCUUCGAAUCUGAGCUAAGGACCCUAUAAACAAUUGCUUAUACGCUCUCCAAUUUUCGACUGAAGCCUCUAAAACAACGUUGCAGUGCAUUAUAAUCCCACUCGUUCGUUGCAUUCUCAAGAAAACGCGUCUCAUGUGAAAAGGCAUUGCGGCAAGUCAAAGGUCCGCGGUAGUAGUGCUAUUCGUUGAAGCGGAUUUCAUGCACGCAACUUAUGAUGUGGUUGCUCCGUUAGGAAAUUGUACGAGUCAGGUCGCACAUGCACGUCCCGUGAAAACGAAGGGCAAACGUGAUGUGCGAGUUGACGGUCGUAAUUAACUUGUUCCGUGGGCUGUUUUCUGCCGUUCUCCGCUGCAAGUGUCGAAUUUUCGCAGGAUUGGACGUUGCGCAUGUUCUCUCUGACGACUCGUGUUCCGCACUGCCUUUUGCUGCAGGCGUUCGUGCGUGGAUUGCGGACUUAGCUAUUUACAGGCACCCCGGUUUCAAGCACAUCAUGAGCAAGCGAUAACUUGAGCAGCCCUGCACGGUUGGGUGCACUAAUAGCGCGGUGCCGAAAACGCAAGAAACACACGGUAAUUAAAUUCCACAUGCCAUUACACAGCGUGCUGCGUGGUGAAGUUUGAGGACAGAGCGUGCGGGCCUUCUCAAUGUCGUUGAGGAACUGCUGCGAAAAUGUGUACGGCGAUGUGCCCCUCCAUCAUACCAGCUCUUCCACUUUUUCUCGUAUAGGGAAACUUGCUUUGAUGGACUUAUCUGAGCUGUCUAGACUUUUAAGUCAAUAAAUAGUGUAAUAAAUGCUCCAUCUGCAUGCUUAUGCUAACGUGUCAACGCGCUUUUUUAAUUUUCCGUGCGAUUAAAAAUCGAAAUUUCGCGAUUAUCUCGCUGUUUUCUCAGAAGCUUUCUUGAUUGUUUCUUUGUCUGGAAAAUAUUUAGAGCAAAAUGUGCCCUGCAACAACCCGUGCGGUGUUUUUCAUUCCUUUUGCAAUAUUAUUUUAUCUGCUAAAUUCCUUAAAACGUUAAAAAAUCAAAGUGCACUGAAUAGAAAAUAGCAGUGCCUUCAGAUAAAAAUCUAACAAAAAUAGUUGCACUCGUAGGCUAAACAGGCAUUUGCGUUUUGAAACAAUUAUUCGUACAGGAACAAGAUUUGCUCUUAAGCACUGAUGUAAAGGAAACGUGGUGAAAAAAAAAUUAAGGGGUGGUGGAAACGCGUCACAGUAAACAAAUAAGGGGGAACAAAAUGGAAAGCAUUGUCUAUGUUGGCCGAUGCUUCACACACAUAUUUUAUUUGCCGAAUUUUUGUCUCUUGUUGAAGAAAGCAAGCCUAGCUUGUUACCGGCAUUGCCACAAACCACUUGUUUCGUUUGUAGUAGCGAAUAGCAGUGGGACAACAUCAUAGAACUUGGAUGAAAGCAGCAGCUAUGCAUUUAGCUAUGUUGUCGAACAAGCAAUUUCGUUUUGCCGUGCCCUAAACAAAAAGUUAAGAUGAUGUGUUGUUGCAAGUCGAUAGAUUGAAUAUCCCCGAGCGAGAGGAGAAGUAUGCAUGAUAGGCUUAUUGCUAGGCCAGUAGGUGAGGAAGUGUGGUGAAAGUGUAGCGCUAAAACACAUAGUUUCCGUGUUUCUUCUGGGCACGAUGUGCUUUCUUGCUACAUAUUUAGUAUGCAUGAGGCCACCCACAAGAACCUGUUCUUAGCACUUUUUAUGAGUUGCAGCAAAGCGGAAAUGGGCAUAAACGUCUGGCGUGCUCCUAAGACGCGCCCAACAGCAGAUGCCAUUCCCGAUGCUUUGCAUCAUGUGAUAUGUAGCAUAUACGAGUAUUACCCCAUGAAAAUCUCCAUGCCAUUGCAAAGUAGGUUCAUUUGUAUCAGUGGCACCCAAACGCAGGGUUCGUACAGCUGCUUGGAAAUCCUUGCAUUUUGAAAACAUUUCAAGCGCCCUUAGGACCUUAAAAUAAGUGCGCUGCUUGAUUUCCUUGAAAAUUAGGGUUGGAAGCGACUUCAGAACAAGUAAAAUAAAUGCCACACUGUGCUAUGCCGUUUCUAUUGGGGAAAAACAAUCGUCCAUAAUCUCACGUGAGAGUUUUGCUAAGCAAUUGCUGUCUAGCACAUCUGCAGUAACUGGCAACAGGCUUGUUUAAAUCAUCGCCAUCAUGGUGCUAGACGAAGGCAGAUUAAGUGACAAUGUUGUACCAGUAUUUUUGUUGUUUCGCUAGUUGGUUUACGUUGCAGCCAUCAUGGCUUCAUUAUUGAGGUCUGAGCUGUACAAAUGCCCGAAGGAAAGUAGGUUUCAGCAAUUUGGCUUUAACAACACAAGCAUACUUUGGUGAAGCCGGACACUACUAACUCACAUUAAGUGAAGUGUCUGAUGUGUCACAAUGCGACUGACAUUGUUACAAUAGAAAAGUAGACUGAAAAGCCACCUAAAGGAUUUGAAACGUGCAUGCAAUUGAGUGGGUGCUUAGCUAUAAAGAAUUAUAACCAAGAAGGAGAUUUCAGUAUAUAUUAGUUUUAUUUAUGACAAAUUUGUUUUAAUCUCCUUAAAUUAAAGCCUUCAGCAACCUGGUAAUCGUUGAAUUGUUCUUGAAUUUUGCGUCGGACAUUCUGUACGAACCCUGCAAAGAUUGCUUUACAAUUUUCAUGUUUCUACCAUUUUCUCUGUUCUGGCACCUCUAUAUAAUGCCUAGCGUGUAAUUAAGUUUCAAUGACAGCUAGGGCUUCAUGUAUGCCUGCUGUUUGUCUGAUUCAUGUGCUCUUCUAUGUUCGCCUAUAACAUAACGAAGCAUGACCAUUAGUACUCUUCUAUGGCUACCACGAUUUUGAUGUGCGACUGAGCUGUUAUGUAUAGAAGCCAUUCGAAUAUAAGUGAAACAUUUAAAUUAUUUAUCUGUUUUCACAUUACUUUGUUACAGAAUGGUCUUCCGCAAGGUGUGGCGGUGUCAGCACCACCACCGAAACAAAACGACUGCACAGCACACCACUGGCUGCCCAGCAAAGAUAGACAUUAAAAUUAAAAAAGUGAACCCCAACACUAAAAAAAUGAUGAGUAUUUGUGCAGAAGCACUCCCCUUCCAGCUGUGAUCCAAUUGGCCACAACACAUAAUCACAGCACAGUGUGCUGAUUCGCUAAAGCUACUGCGUGCCAGCCCAGAAACAAGGGCCACAUUCGAUGCAUAUUUCGAGCCUGUUUUCACGCUUGCAGCUGCCAUUCGGCACCACGAGGAGGCACUGGCACUGGAAGACAACAGCCACAUUUUGCUUGCCAACAGCAUGGUGAAUCCAACACAAAGGACUGUUUAUUACUGGCACCAAGAAUGGAGGCUAGCAAAGUAUGGUCCUCUAGCGAAUCCUCUACUGAAACUCCAAGAAAAGUUGGCAGACUAUGCAGCACAAGAUACUGCUUAAGAAUGCACAUGGACUUCGGAGGUCUUCAGAACACUGGGGUAAAGCCAGCACUUCUAAUGCAGCCAGUAUGCCUGUACGACCACUUGGUGCAAGCUUUCAUUUUUGUUUUACAGACACACUCAUUUCAAUAACUGUGUAAUAAAAGAUUCGGAAAUUACAUUUCUCGAGUAAGUACUCUACUAUCCUGAAAGAACUAUGUAAUUGCGGGGAAUUCUUGCCUAUUUGCACCCUUCGUAGCAUGAAGCAGUUGAUAGCAGUCUCCUCCCACUUUUGGAGAAUUCAAAACUUGCGCCAUACAGAGAAACAUAAUUCAAAAUUUGAGACAUGCACAAAUAUGUUCAUAUAU